CACACACACGGGUUUGGCCGUGGCUCUCAGUAGUAGACACUUGAAAGGACACCCUAGAGAGGGGUCCUUUUCACAGUAAUAGUGCCCGGCAGCACUUAGCGUGGACCGGGUGGCUCACUCCCACUGUAGUGAAGGGGGUGAGGGUUCUCGAUUCCACUGCAGCCCCGCUCUUCCCUUCCCGCCGAGUGGGGGGAAGAAGAGUCUUUCAUGGACACAGCACUUCACCGGCUGCGCGCUCACGCACACUCCAGAGCACUCACUCACCCAUCGUCAGCCGUGGAGUGUCGAGAUCUCAAAUUUGAGUGAACGAACAAGUGGGAAUUGGCGAUGAGUGUGAAAUAUUUCUGAUUAUAUUCAGAUGGUUCACACUCAAAAUGCUGAAACUCAGCUGCCACAACAGAAUGGACACAUGCAACAAAUGCCCAGCAUACACACACAGAUGGAUCAGUGCUACUUGGAGUAAACUCUACAAGGCUGCUGGAGGGAUGAGCCACGUCUGCUGCUUACCUUCAGAUUGUAAAGAUGGAGGGUCGUCGCUAUAACUUUCCAGGUGGAGUUUCGGACCCUCGCUUUACCCUCAUUGUGGAAAAAUGAAGAGGCUGUGGGUCUUAGACGGACGGGCAUGAGAGCAGCGUGAGGAUAGUCGUGUGUGUGAACGGUCGGCUCCUGUGGGGAAAAGAGGGAAUCCUGCCCAGACAUUCCAUGGCACAGAUUCCCCAAGAGUUUCCACUACAAUGGAAGCCUGUUCCUGGAUGAAAGCUGCAGUGGAAGUUCCCUCUCAUGGAGCGAAGGAACUCAAGGAGGGAAAGAGGAGAGGGGAAGAGGAAAGACGGCGCAGAGGGAAGGACUGAGUGGUACUUAUUGGAUGAAGACUUCAAAGCAGCACAGCAGCCAGACGGACUGAGGCUCCGGGGAAAUUAUUUACCUGACAAGCACACAGCUUUCCAAACAUUACACAACAUUACUGACCAAACAUUUAGAAAACAGAACCCUCUCUCCACAGAUUUAGUUAGGUGAAUCACAUCCGGUGAGUAAGCAGAUUAUUCAACAGAGGGACGAGAUGUCUCUGCUGUCUCUCUCGUCCCCCGUCACUCCAACUUUUCAAAAUCACAGAUGAUCAACACACUGGAACUGCUCACUGUGACGCUACAAUGAAGUUUACUUUUCUGCAGCUGUGUAACAUCUGUGGCUCAAAGAAGCUCAAAGUGGAAAAAAUAAACCUAAUGCUGCUGUCAGAUCAUCCCUCUACUGAGUUGCAUUAUGGGAACUCUAGGCUUUUGGAGCUUGACCCAACAAGAAACUAAAGGUCAGUGGACCUCUUCCUCUGCUGCUUUGAUCGUUCUUUUAAUCCAUGGCUCCUCUUUAUUUAGUAUCACUAUGACAGCUUGUAUCAAACGUCUAGUUGAUAUCGUACUUGUAUGACGUCCUAGCUAUUUUGUUUCAAAUAAUAGGAUAAUUAGUACUUUUUUUUCAAAAAGUGUUCAAAAAUGAUAUUUAACCACUUGAGAACGGUGUUUUAUUCACCAUUUAAAGAGAAGCUGAUCCAAUAGAAUCACAUAGCUGGCCACUUCUGUAGUUUCUAACAUAUUAAAACUAAGAAAGACCUUUCGUCAAAAAAAUAUUUAUAAACACAUGUUCUAAUCAUAGUUGCAAGCACAAUUCCAAGUGACUUAAAGCUGUGGAUCCCAAGAUCGC
ensembl:lncRNA